rnacentral:rRNA from 1 species
UACGUAGGGUGCAAGCGUUGUCCGGAUUUAUUGGGCGUAAAGAGCUCGUAGGCGGUUCGGUAAGUCGGAUGUGAAAACUUUGGGCUCAACCCAAAGCGUGCAUUCGAUACUGCCGUGACUAGAGUUCGGUAGGGGAGUGGGGAAUUCCUAGUGUAGCGGUGAAAUGCGUAGAGAUCCGGAGGAACCCCAGAGGCGAAGGCGGCGUCCUGGCUCGCAUCUGACGCUCAGACACGACAGCAUGGGGAGCGAACGGG